rnacentral:rRNA from 1 species
AUUGAAGGCUGGCGGCAUGCCUUACACAUGCAAGUCGAACGGCAGCGGGGGAGAAGCUUGCUUUUCCUGCCGGCGAGUGGCGAACGGGUGAGUAAUACAUCGGAACGUGCCCUGCAGUGGGGGAUAACUAGUCGAAAGAUUAGCUAAUACCGCAUACGACCUGAGGGUGAAAGUGGGGGACCGCAAGGCCUCAUGCUAUAGGAGCGGCCGAUGUCUGAUUAGCUAGUUGGUGGGGUAAAGGCCUACCAAGGCGACGAUCAGUAGCUGGUCUGAGAGGACGAUCAGCAACACUGGGACUGAGACACGGCCCAGACUCCUACGGGAGGCAGCAGUGGGGAAUUUUGGACAAUGGGCGAAAGCCUGAUCCAGCAAUGCCGCGUGUGUGAAGAAGGCCUUCGGGUUGUAAAGCACUUUUGUCCGGAAAGAAAUGGCUCUGGUUAAUACCUGGGGUCGAUGACGGUACCGGAAGAAUAAGGACCGGCUAACUACGUGCCAGCCGCCGCAGUAA